GACGAACGCUGGCGGCGUGCUUAACACAUGCAAGUCGAACGGAAAGGCCCUGCUUUUGUGGGGUGCUCGAGUGGCGAACGGGUGAGUAACACGUGAGUAACCUGCCCUUGACUUUGGGAUAACUUCAGGAAACUGGGGCUAAUACCGGAUAGGAGCUCCUGCUGCAUGGUGGGGGUUGGAAAGUUUCGGCGGUUGGGGAUGGACUCGCGGCUUAUCAGCUUGUUGGUGGGGUAGUGGCUUACCAAGGCUUUGACGGGUAGCCGGCCUGAGAGGGUGACCGGGCACAUUGGGCCUGAGGUACGGACCAGACUCCAACGGGAGGCAGCAGUGGGGAAUAUUGCACAAUGGGCGGACGCCUGAUGCAGCAACGCCGCGUGCGGGAUGACGGCCUUCGGGUUGUAAACCGCUUUCGCCUGUGCCGAAGCGUGAGUGACGGUACUGGGUAAAGAAGCACCGGCUAACUACGUG
rnacentral:rRNA from 1 species